AGAUUACGAGAAAUUCAAAGCCACAUCAUCCAAGACAACACCAUAUUCAACAACAUUCAACGAGUCAGUCUGUCCACAUUGGCUCGCAUUCUCAAGCGAAACCAAAUCAGAAUGAAACAACUUUAUAAGGUGCCGUUUGAGAGAAACUCUCAAAGAAACAAAGAGGUCAGACGAGCAUAUGUGGAUGGAGUACUGGAAAUGGAUGCUCAUGCAAUCCCACAUGAGUUCAUCUUUAUAUAUGAGGCUGGGUUCAACCUAGCAAAGACCAGAAGAAGGGGGAGAAACGUCAUUGGCCACAGAGCCAUUAUAGAUGUUCCUGGCCAACGUGGUGGGAACAUCACAAUGUGCGCUGCCAUCUCCAAUACGCAUGGUGUCCUCCACCGUCAUGCCAACCUUGGACCAUACAACACAGCCCAUAUUCUCACAUUUCUGGACAGACUCCACAACAUUCUCAUACCACCAGAGCGUAUGAAUGAUGCAGACCAUC